GGGACAGUAGGUUGGUCGUGCCACCGGUACGUACUGGUCUCACUGAUUCCUCCUUCCUGAAGAACCGUAAUGCCAUUAAUUUGGUGUUGCGGGGAGACAGGACUGUUACUUUGAAAAAAUUAGAGUGUUUAAAGCAAGCUAACGCUUGAAUACAUUAGCAUGGAAUAAUGAAAUAGGACGAUCGAUCCUCUUUUGUUGGUUUCUAGGAUUGACGUA
rnacentral:rRNA from 1 species